GCCGAGAUGGCGAAAUGGCAGACGCGCAACGUUGAGGUCGUUGUGGGUGAAUAACCCUUGGAGGUUCAAGUCCUCUUCUCGGCACCA
rnacentral:tRNA from 1 species